rnacentral:rRNA from 1 species
GAUCUUGGUUCAGAUUGAACGCUGGCGGCAUGCUUUACACAUGCAAGUCGAACGGGUGUAGGGGGCAACCUCUGCAUUAGUGGCGAACGGGUGAGUAAUGCAUCGGAACGUACCGUGUAGUGGGGGAUAACGAGUCGAAAGAUUCGCUAAUACCGCAUACGUCCUGAGGGGGAAAGCGGGGGACCCGAGAGGGCCUCGUGCUAUACGAGCGGCCGAUGUCCGAUUAGCUAGUUGGUGGGGUAAAGGCCUACCAAGGCGACGAUCGGUAGCGGGUCUGAGAGGACGGCCCGCCACACUGGGACUGAGACACGGCCCAGACUCCUACGGGAGGCAGCAGUGGGGAAUUUUGGACAAUGGGCGCAAGCCUGAUCCAGCCAUGCCGCGUGAAGUGAAGAAGGCCUUCGGGUUGUAAAGCUCUUUCGGCCGGGAAGAAAUCGGGCAGGUAAAUAAUCUGUCUGGAUGACGGUACCGGAAGAAGAAGCACCGGCUAACUACGUGCCAGCAGCGGC